AAAUCACCGAUUUCUGUCACACAUUUUCCCUAAAACCAGCUCUGUAAAGGUCUCUAGCCACAUGGUUUGAAGCCUCAACGGUUUAAUGUUUGGCAUCUUGCCUUUUUGAUUCAAGGAAAUGAGAGACUGACAGGUUUAUGCUCUCAGCCAAUUGCAAAGCUGCUCCCUUCUCUGUCCCACCUACCACUUCCUUUCAUCUUUCUCUCUUUCAUCAUCACUGUGCUUCCUGCACGUUCCCUGUUCCUGUGCUCCCAGACCAGCGUGCUUGGGGCAAGAACUCUGAAGACAAGAUUGGCUGGUUUUGCUUCUCCCUCCUCACCCUGGAUCCCUUAUAGGAAUCACAGAUGGAUGAUUUGAGAUGAGCCUUAAAGGAAAGGAAAAUGUAUCUUUCUCUCCACCAGCAUCAACUGUAUGAGAGAAUUUGGGGCCUGAAGAUUAAAAGAUUUGCCCCAUCUCCGAUCUGCAUUACAAAGACUCUGAAGUUAUGUCCAGGAAAGGCUAUACUAAAAACAGGAUAGAUAAUAAAACUAGAUUGAAUGGAUGUGUAAAAGUUGGG
rnacentral:lncRNA from 1 species